rnacentral:lncRNA from 1 species
ACAUAUCAAAAUUAGAUUUUACCUCUCUUAAAUUUGAAACUCUUAAACAAUCUCUUAAAUGAUUUUCAUAUCUUUCUUUUAUUUUUAAGUUGGGUAUUAAACAAACCAUUUUUUCCUAUUUUUUCUGUUUUAAAAAAACAUAUUGUUGGAACAACAGAGUUCUAAGCUUUUAACUUCUUUUUUUUGUAAUAAAAAAAAUACCAAAGUACAACCUAAGUUCAUGUGGGCAUGGGUCACGACGGAAAUACCUGAACUCCACUUGGGAUAUCAGAAUCCAGUCGAAUAUGAGUUUGAGGUUCUACUUUUUAUAUCCGCUCGAAAUUGGGAUAGUUAUGGGGAUACCUAAAUUUUAUGGGUGUGGCGAUCAUUAAUGAUGGGUUGUUUGAUAUUUACAAAAUUGGAUAUCCCUUGGGGCACAUUCCAAUAGUGCACCGUCCACCAUAUAAACACUAAUUAAUGAGUGUGCACUGUGUCAUUUCUAUUGUAAGACUUCUAUCAUUUUCGUGAGUAUAACGCAGUUGAUAGAAACAUUACUUGUAAUAUGCAGAGAUCGGGGUUCAUAUUUUGGUAGGCUCAUUAAUUCACCUUUAAAAAGGUAAAAAUCUAACAACUAAAUUACUUGAUAAAAGAAUAUCACACUUUACAAUUGUUAAAUAUUUCGGCCUACGCUAUUGGGCUUUUCAUGUUAGUAUUCUAGUCCACUAAGUAUUAUUAUAUGUGUUCCUACAUAGAUUCUAGGGUUCCUGGAAUGUGACCUAGCCGGUAAUGUUUUUAUUAUAGCUCGAUAGGGAAGGUCUCUCUCGUCCUACGUAUCCCUAAAUGAUUAGAGAAUCAGAGCCAUGUAGUUCUCUUAUAAACUGGCGGUGUGGUGUAUUAUGUGAGUAUCAAGCUAGCUGAAUAGCUUUUCUGUGUAUUUGGUGAAGGAGGAAUGUAUCCAUAACUUAAUGACCAUAGGCCUAUAUAUAGGAGAGUCUGAUGGGAGUAGUCGGCUAGAUAGUUGAGAGAGUCAAGAAGAGAAUAUAGGGAAAGGAGGAGAUCAUGGGAGAGGAAGUGAUCUCAUGUGUUCCUAAUAUUCCAGACAUACCUGUUGACCCAUGACUUGGUCUUAUCCAUAUCCACUUGAGAUGGACGGUCCACGCCCUACUAGGCCUCUCGCUUCACAAUCGUUGCGGGCCCAUUAAGCUCGGGAAACUUGCCCGGUACAAGAUGAGAUUUCUUUUUGGCACCUAAAAAUUUACUCACGUGCCCUGCAAAAUUACCAAAAUAUCUUUGUUCACUACUUCAGUAUAGCAGAUGUGUAAAAUCAUGAAAAUUUCAUGUUUGAGGUGUUUUUUUCAAAAUCUUUAUAACAUCCGCUACUUAAAUAGCGGAAGAGUAAAAAUGAAAAUAAGAAGGAUGUGCGAGAAGUAUCUAGCGUGCUAAAAGAAACAUUCUUAUUAUAUAUUCUAUUAUAACACUUUGUAAUGCAAUGUAAUUGACACUAGCUAGUGAAAGUACCUAGUAUCCUUUGUUCUUUCUUUCCUUUGGUUAUCAUAUCUCCAUUGUUUUUUUUUUUAUUACAAUUAUAUUGAUACGAAGUUUCCACCACACCACAGUACAAUAACUAAUCUUCAUCCCAACAGAAUUUCCUCGGUUGUUAACAACACUUUCUGAGUUCAACUAAUACUUACUCUUCCAAUUUCCAACCAACAUCCAAUCAAUGUUAUACUAUGUUCCAAAAGUAGUUCAUUUAUUUACUUUUAUGAGUAUAGUGUACUUAAUUAAAACAACUUGAAAAAGUGGCAAUGACAUACGUAUGGCAUCAACUACUUCGACCAAGAUAGAGAAUUUUG